rnacentral:rRNA from 1 species
UACGUAGGGGGCAAGCGUUGUUCGGAGUUACUGGGCGUAAAGGGUGUGUAGGCGGUUCUUUAAGUUUGGGGUGAAAUCUCCCGGCUCAACCGGGAGGGUGCGCCGAAUACUGAGGGACUAGAGUGUGGGAGAGGAAAGUGGAAUUCCUGGUGUAGCGGUGAAAUGCGUAGAUAUCAGGAGGAACACCGGUGGUGUAGACGGCUUUCUGGACCAUAACUGACGCUGAGACACGAAAGCGUGGGUAGCAAACAGG